CAUGCAAGUCGAACGAACCUUCGGGUUAGUGGCGGACGGGUGAGUAACGCGUGAGAAUCUGCCCUCAGGAGGGGGAUAACGGUUGGAAACGACCGCUAAUACCCCAUAUGCCUAUUGGUGAAAUGAAUUUCGCCUGAGGAUGAGCUCGCGUCUGAUUAGCUAGUUGGUGUGGUAAUGGCUCACCAAGGCUUCGAUCAGUAGCUGAUCUGAGAGGAUGAUCAGCCACACUGGGACUGAGACACGGCCCAGACUCCUACGGGAGGCAGCAGUGGGGAAUUUUCCGCAAUGGGCGAAAGCCUGACGGAGCAACGCCGCGUGAGGGAUGAAGGCCUCUGGGCUGUAAACCUCUUUUCUCAAGGAAGAAGAUAUGACGGUACUUGAGGAAUAAGCCACGGCUAAUUCCGUGCCAGCAGCCGCGGUAAUACGGGAGUGGCAAGCGUUAUCCGGAAUUAUUGGGCGUAAAGCGUCCGCAGGCGGCUUUUCAAGUCUGCUGUUAAAACGUGGAGCUUAACUCCAUCAUGGCAGUGGAAACUGAAAGGCUUGAGUAUGGUAGGGGCAGAGGGUAUUCCCGGUGUAGCGGUGAAAUGCGUAGAUAUCGGGAAGAACACCAGUGGCGAAGGCGCUCUGCUGGGCCAUUACUGACG
rnacentral:rRNA from 1 species